GAUGAACGCUGGCGGCGUGCCUAAUACAUGCAAGUCGAGCGAACGGACGAGAAGCUUGCUUCUCUGAUGUUAGCGGCGGACGGGUGAGUAACACGUGGAUAACCUACCUAUAAGACUGGGAUAACUUCGGGAAACCGGAGCUAAUACCGGAUAAUAUUUUGAACCGCAUGGUUCAAAAGUGAAAGACGGUCUUGCUGUCACUUAUAGAUGGAUCCGCGGUGCAUUAGCUAGUUGGUAAGGUAACGGCUUACCAAGGCAACGAUGCAUAGCCGACCUGAGAGGGUGAUCGGCCACACUGGAACUGAGACACGGUCCAGACUCCUACGGGAGGCAGCAGUAGGGAAUCUUCCGCAAUGGGCGAAAGCCUGACGGAGCAACGCCGCGUGAGUGAUGAAGGUCUUCGGAUCGUAAAACUCUGUUAUUAGGGAAGAACAUAUGUGUAAGUAACUGUGCACAUCUUGACGGUACCUAAUCAGAAAGCCACGGCUAACUACGUG
rnacentral:rRNA from 1 species